rnacentral:rRNA from 1 species
GGCGGCUACCAUGCAGUUCGAACGGUAACAGGAAGCAGCUUGCUGCUUUGCUGACGAGUGGCGGACNGNUGAGUAAUGUCUGGGAAACUGCCCGAUGGAGGGGGAUAACUACUGGAAACGGUAGCUAAUACCGCAUAACGUCGCAAGACCAAAGAGGGGGACCUUCGGGCCUCUUGCCAUCGGAUGUGCCCAGAUGGGAUUAGCUAGUAGGUGGGGUAACGGCUCACCUAGGCGACGAUCCCUAGCUGGUCUGAGAGGAUGACCAGCCACACUGGAACUGAGACACGGUCCAGACUCCUACGGGAGGCAGCAGUGGGGAAUAUUGCACAAUGGGCGCAAGCCUGAUGCAGCCAUGCCGCGUGUAUGAAGAAGGCCUUCGGGUUGUAAAGUACUUUCAGCGGGGAGGAAGGGAGUAAAGUUAAUACCUUUGCUCAUUGACGUUACCCGCAGAAGAAGCACCGGCUAACUCCGUGCCAGCAGCCGCGGUUAAUACGGAGGGUGCAAGCGUUAAUCGGAAUUACUGGGCGUAAAGCGCACGCAGGCGGUUUGUUAAGUCAGAUGUGAAAUCCCCGGGCUCAACCUGGGAACUGCAUCUGAUACUGGCAAGCUUGAGUCUCGUAGAGGGGGGUAGAAUUCCAGGUGUAGCGGUGAAAUGCGUAGAGAUCUGGAGGAAUACCGGUGGCGAAGGCGGCCCCCUGGACGAAGACUGACGCUCAGGUGCGAAAGCGUGGGGAGCAAACAGGAUUAGAUACCCUGGUAGUCCACGCCGUAAACGAUGUCGACUUGGAGGUUGUGCCCUUGAGGCGUGGCUUCCGGAGCUAACGCGUUAAGUCGACCGCCUGGGGAGUACGGCCGCAAGGUUAAAACUCAAAUGAAUUGACNGGGGGCCCGCACAAGCGGUGGAGCANUGUGGNUUUAAUUUCGAUGCAACGCGAAGAACCUUACCUGGUCUUGACAUCCACGGAAAGUUUUCAGAGAUGAGAAUGUGCCUUUCGGGAACCGUGAGACAGGUAAAAACAUGGCUGUCGUCAGCUCGUGUUGUGAAAUGUUGGGUUAAGUCCCGCAACGAGCGCAACCCUUAUCCUUUGUUGCCAGCGGUCCGGCCGGGAACUCAAAGGAGACUGCCAGUGAUAAACUGGAGGAAGGUGGGGAUGACGUCAAGUCAUCAUGGCCCUUACGACCAGGGCUACACACGUGCUACAAUGGCGCAUACAAAGAGAAGCGACCUCGCGAGAGCAAGCGGACCUCAUAAAGUGCGUCGUAGUCCGGAUUGGAGUCUGCAACUCGACUCCAUGAAGUCGGAAUCGCUAGUAAUCGUGGAUCUNUANANGGGCGGUGAAUACGUUCCCGGGCCUUGUACACACCCCCUUUNAGGGGNCAUGGGAGUGGGUUGCAAAAGAAGUAGGUAGCUUAACCUUCGGGAGGGCGCUACCACUUUGUUCG